rnacentral:tRNA from 1 species
GCGCCGGUGGUGUAAUGGCGUAGAACGCUCCUGCAUGUUCAGCAGGUGAUGCGGGUUUGAGUCCCGCCUGCCGCU